ensembl:lncRNA
AAUGAAUCAAACGUUCCGAUGCUGCAUGUUUGAUUAUUAUUCCCUCAACUCACUCGACGCUAUAGCAGCAUCAAGUGCAGGUGAUUCAAGACGAUGACAGAUUUUUGACCUUCUCUGAGGCCUGAACCCAGAGCAGCCUUUUCUCCUUUGUUCCAGGUUUACACGUGUUGCUUAACAAAAGUCAGACUUGGACAGCUUGACUGCAAUUAUAAUGCUACAGUUUAUGAACCCGAGGGCAGUCCAGUCCAAAUAAAGCACAAAAUGCACUCUACCAAUGGGAUAGCGGGAAUAUAACUCAGGCCGUGACAUGGGACAAAAGCAGUGUUUCUGUUUAUUUGCAUUUUGGACACAAUGUGCACGGCAGCAUAAUUGCAGAGGAUGGUCUCAGAGGUGGUCCGACUCGAUCUGAGAUGAAGGUAGAGCUGAUUUUAGUGGGUUGGUGAUAUUUGCUAAACCUCUGCUGUUUACCGUAGUAAUUAAGCCAUUUCUGAGCAGUGGGUCUCAAAGUACAGGCCUCAUGUCCCUGCGUGUCAGUUUCACAAUAACAUUCAGCCCGACCCGAGCCGGCUGAUAGCGUGAGAACUUCAGAUAUACGUAAGUGUGUGUGUGUGUGAGAGCGAAACGGAGGACAUGUGUUGUUGUGAGUGUGUUUGUGUGUGGGAUGGUGAGCUGGGUUGGGCCUGUAUGGAAGUAUUACGACUUAGCAUGUUUGGUUUUCUCAUUCUGGCAAUGAACGGCAUGUUAUUUAUCUUAUUGUACCAUAACCAUGGCCAAAAACAGAAGGGAACUUACUGAUUUCUGACUCUUGACCUUGUGAGACUUCACUGAAAAUCUGCCAGGCUGUCUGAAUCAAAAGAUUAUCAAUCUGUGGCAGUUUGACUUGAGAUUUACAGGUUAUGGACUGAAGUAAAACCUUGUGGUUUGAUAAGCCUACACUGAGAGAGAGAGAGAGAGAGAGAGAGAGGGGAAAAAAACAAAAACAAAGUACAUUCACACACUGAUUUUAGUAAAAUCCACUGUCUAAGUUAAGUGCAAUAACCAAGUAUAUACUUUUGAUUUUGCUCAUUUUAAUUCAAGUUUUUACACUAUAGUAAGCAUUAUCAUAGCUAUGUUUAUUGAAUGAAGCAAAAAACACUAGUCAUCAUACAACCAUCCUUCAGCUCAACCACAAGCUCUGCUCUUCAGCACAAUGCUAACCACAAAAACAUCAACAACACAAAUGUCCAACAUUAAACACUAAGAGGCCUUUGCCCUUACACAAAAACGCAUAAAAUAACACUCAGUUUCAACAUUUACUCUCCCAAUUCAGUUCUACAUAAAGGUUUAAGUUCAGUGUUUCAGGUAAUGCAACAGAAAUUAAUUGAGUUAACUUCAGUGUUAUGUAUUUGAGUAGAUUAAAUGUAUAUUGCAUGUGAUUUAAAUAUUAAGCAAUUGUGUUGCUACAGCUCAUUUUAAUUAACAAAUUUUGU